CGGUAACGCAGCUAACGCGUGAAGUCGACCGCCUGGGGAGUACGGUCGCAAGAUUAAAACUCAAAGGAAUUGACGGGGACCCGCGCAAGCGGUGGAUGAUGUGGAUUAAUUCGAUGCAACGCGAAAAACCUUACCUACCCUUGACAUGCCAGGAACCUCGCAGAGAUGUGAGGGUGCUCGAAAGAGAGCCUGGACACAGGUGCUGCAUGGCUGUCGUCAGCUCGUGUCGUGAGAUGUUGGGUUAAGUCCCGCAACGAGCGCAACCCUUGUCACUAGUUGCUACGAAAGGGCACUCUAGUGAGACUGCCGGUGACAAACCGGAGGAAGGUGGGGGUGACGUCAAGUCCUCAUGGCCCUUAUGGGUAGGGCUUCACACGUCAUACAAUGGUCGGUACAGAGGGUUGCCAACCCGCGAGGGGGAGCCAAUCCCAGAAAACCGGUCGUAGUCCGGAUUGCAGUCUGCAACUCGACUGCAUGAAGUCGGAAUCGCUAGUAAUCGCGGAUCAGCAUGUCGCGGUGAAUACGUUCCCGGGUCUUGUACACACCGCCCGUCACACCAUGGGAGUGGGUUUCACCAGAAGCCGUUUGCCUAACCGUAAGGAGGGCGGCGACCACGGUGAGAUUCAUGACUGGGGUGAAGUCGUAACAAGGUAACCAAU
rnacentral:rRNA from 1 species